rfam:Gossypium raimondii Chr11_contig_699, whole genome shotgun sequence.
AUUCCGUGAUGAGGGCACUUCCGUAAUAAUUCUUUGUACCUUUCUCAUGCCUCAUACAAUGACUCAUCAUAUUUGUUGGAAAACAGUGAUCCUGUUCCUCAACUU